AUGGCGUGUAAAAGAAACCUGAGUUUUACUACUCCCGUGAGUAAUAGGGCUUUGCAACCAGCAACAAGCCCACUGAGCAUAAAUGGUUUAAUGAAACAGCUGAUCUCCGGUCAGAACGCUUUGUCUCGUCAGCUUGAGGGUUUGAUGGAGAAGCAAGCUGCAAACACUGUUCUUCUCGAAGAGGCUAUCCAUCGUCUUUGUGUUCUUGAGCGAAAGUUUGACGAGCAAAGACCGCAAGAGGAACAAAGACCGCGGGAAGAGCCAUUACAUAAAAGGAUAAAGAGGGCGCACAACGUGGGCAUUGCGGAAGUAACAGGAAGUAAGGCGCUUUCACAAUUCGGAAAACAACCCACAUAAAUAUGAUCCACAAACUGGGUAAGACUGCUGUUUUUCUGCUAUGUUUAUUUGGCCUUUGUGGGCCAUGCUGUUUAUGGGGUUUUACAUAUUCCUUUUAAAUGUAUUUAAUGACACACUUCUCUCUUUCCACACAGAAUAAGUUCGCCUCGUAACCAAGCAGUCAUGACUUAUCUGCUAGAGGAAUUGAAAACAACUUUUGCAGAUGCAGACCCUGAGUGUAUACAAGGUUAAUUUUAAAAUGUUUGUUUAAACAAUUUUUAAUGUCCAUUAAUUUUAGUCUCUUUAUAUUUUUGUCCAUCUUAUGUAUUUCAAUAGUGUAGUUUCUGUCACUUAACAAUUGUCAGAACUUUGUGAGGAGCUUCAGCGCAGAUUGGAGGCAGACAUGCGCUACACUAUUUUGCAUCAUCAGCGUGUUAAGGCUGAUGGAAAUGGACAUGAUGGACCUUCCUUUCUUCAACUUUAACUAAACUGCACUGGUUUUGCAAUUUUAAUAAUUGCAUCACAAACUGCACAUUUUCACUUAUUCUCUUCUAUUUUAUCUUAUUCUUUGUAUACUUAUUAGGUUAGAUUUAUUUAGUUUCAUAUUCUGCAACUUAUUUUCUUUUAAUAUUGUUUGUGUUUGCUGUGUUUGGUUACAUUUUAAAUACUUUGUGCUGUGUGUACAUAUUAAGUAGUUUAUUUAGUUUUAUAUUCUGUAACUGUUAUAAUAUUGCUUGUUUAGUAAAAUUUUAUAAAAGUACUUUGCUUUGUGUACAUAUUAUUUAGUUUUAUAUUCUCUAACUGUUAUAAUAUUGCUUGUGUUUAGUAAAAUUUUAUAAAAGUACUUUUUCCCCUGUACAGUUCCUAUAGUUUUAUUUAUAUAUUUAAUGCUUUAAGUGUUUUGGUUUAAUUUUAAUAAAAUAAAUUCUGAAUCCAUUCUGUUUUCCAUUUUUGAGGGGGUUGGGUUGUAUAGUGGGUGGGGUGGUUAUGGUUUAUUAACAUAGCUGGCCAAAACCAAUCAAGUCACUAUACUAUGAGGGCUUGGGUUGGGCUAAAUGAAAACCGUGACCAAUCAAAUACUAGUAUCAGGAAAUUGACAGGUCACUGUCCCAAUAGUUGUCAGGGUUUGGGGUGUGUUUUUUUGAAACAACCAAUCAAUGUUGAGAAAAAACACCAAUAAGGACAGCAGAGGUGUGUCAAGGUGUGAAGUGAAAGGGCUCUUGAGGUGUGAAAAUGUCUCCUGACAACAUUCUUCAGGGGAUUACUUGCCAUGGCAACAAAUGGCUGCAUAUACCAUGGCAACAAAUGGCUGCAUAUACCACGGGGAUAUCCCUUCUGCAAGAUACAUCCGAAUUGGUAUCAUUACGGGAGUUUCCUAACUUGGUGGAAUUAGAAGUUUACCCUCAGUUGAACUAGUAGAUACUUCCGAAAAUUAGUGGAGUAUACAGGAG
rnacentral:lncRNA from 1 species